AUUGAACGCUGGCGGCAGGCCUAACACAUGCAAGUCGAACGAGUGGCGGACGGGUGAGUAAUGUCUGGGAAACUGCCUGAUGGAGGGGGAUAACUACUGGAAACGGUAGAUAAUACCGCAUACCAUCGGAUGUACCCAGAUGGGAUUAGCUAGUAGGUGGGGUAAAGGCUCACCUGGGCGACGAUCCCUAGCUGGUCUGAGAGGAUGAACAGCCACACUGGUACUGAGACACGGUCCAUACUCCUCCGGGAGUAAGCAGUGGGGAAUAUUGCACAAUGGGCGCAAGCCUGAUGCAGCCAUGCCGCGUGUAUGAAGAAGGCCUUCGGGUUGUAAAGUACUUUCAGCGGGGAGGCGUUACCCGCAGAAGAAGCACCGGCUAACUCCGUGCCAGCAGCCGCGGUAAUAC
rnacentral:rRNA from 1 species